AAAUAGGAUUGGUCGGUUAAAUAAAAGAAAAAAAUAAAACAUUUUUUGGUUAAACCGAAUAGUCAUUGUGUAUUCGAUUUAUCAUAUUAUAGGCGGUUGACUGCCAGAACACCGAAAGUCACUUUUUAUUAACAAAUUAUGAUGAACAAUAAUUAUAUUGGGUCGGAAAAACGAUUCAGGGUUUAAUCUCGAACUCGAAUUUUCGUUUAUUUAGCAUGUACUCUAUAUUGUGUUUUACCGUUUUAUUAGUUUGCUACGUGAUUUUG